rnacentral:rRNA from 1 species
UGGGGAAUUUUGGACAAUGGGCGCAAGCCUGAUCCAGCCAUGCCGCGUGCGGGAAGAAGGCCUUCGGGUUGUAAACCGCUUUUGUCAGGGAAGAAAUCUUCUGAGUUAAUACCUCGGGAGGAUGACGGUACCUGAAGAAUAAGCACCGGCUAACUACGUGCCAGCAGCCGCGGUAAUACGUAGGGUGCGAGCGUUAAUCGGAAUUACUGGGCGUAAAGCGUGCGCAGGCGGUUUUGUAAGACAGAGGUGAAAUCCCCGGGCUCAACCUGGGAACUGCCUUUGUGACUGCAAGGCUUGAGUGCGGCAGAGGGGGAUGGAAUUCCGCGUGUAGCAGUGAAAUGCGUAGAUAUGCGGAGGAACACCGAUGGCGAAGGCAAUCCCCUGGGCCUGCACUGACGCUCAUGCACGAAAGCGUGGGGAGCAAACAGGAUUAGAUACCCUGGUAGUCCACGCCCUAAACGAUGUCAACUGGUUGUUGGGAAGGUUCCUUCUCAGUAACGUAGCUAACGCGUGAAGUUGACCGCCUGGGGAGUACGGCCGCAAGGUUGAAA